UAUCGCAUACGCAUAUACAUAUCCCAUAUUAAUUUUUAAAAUAAUUUUGGCAUCAUUAAUAUGUUUUUUUAGAAUGAAGAACAUAAAAUGAGAAACAAUCUAAAAUAAAAACUGCAAGCCGACUAGUUGAACUAUUCUUUAUAUCGGGUUUCCUUUGGAAAUUCACGCAUGCUCAUCUGGUAGACCGCUGAUCAGCUGAUCAGUUGUUGUUGUCAUUUAAAACCAGACUCGUGUUCAAGUACUUGACAUUUGCAUUGAAAUUAAUCUCAUAAAUCGGCCUUUUUCCCAGAAACCUCUUGACAGAAGUGACUUCCAAGGAUGAACCAAAACAAUUAUACAGCAUCUGAGAUUAGUAUACAGCAAGGGUAGAGAUUAUUUUUUGUGAUUUGUCUCCUGUACAAACAGGUAUGUGUAUCUAAUAAAGACGGCUGUCAAGAAAA